GCAAACUUGGUCAUUUAGAGGAAGUAAAAGUCGUAACAAGGUUUCCGUAGGUGAACCUGCGGAAGGAUCAUUAAAAUAUUCGGGUCCCCCCACCGAGGGGUAAAAUUCCUGUGCACCUCCGACCCUCGCGUCCUUCCCCUUCGGAGGGUGCGUGUUGCGGUCCGGCGCGUUCACUUUACCACCCUUUGUGAAACUUCCACCUUUGCUUCGGCAGCACCGAGAGGGAUAACCGGUCGGGUAAGGCUGCCAGAAGCCCACGGUAAAACCAGUUGAUGAAAUGUCAUGCCGUCUGAUGCUUUGUUGUUUGAGAAAUCAAAUCAUGUUAAAACUUUCAGCAACGGAUCUCUUGGUUCCCGCAUCGAUGAAGAACGCAGC
rnacentral:misc_RNA from 1 species